UUUACAGGAAGAGACAAAUCCAAGAGGUAUCCAAGUGUGAAAAUCCAGAGCGAAACAAAUCCCGUUAAAGAGUGAAUGGUGAGAGAUUUAUAACAGAUCAAUUUGACAGAAAACUUCACACUGUUAAUCCACCAUAGUUCAAGUUAGUUGGAUAUCGACUAACUCUGUUAAACCUGUGAAUUCGUGCCAAGUUGAGUUAGUUAUCCAGCUGGCAAAUUCUGUUAUUGUUAAUUGUUAAAAUUAGUUGUUGAUUCCAAGUUAGUUUUCUAUCAAUAAGUCUGUUAAUUAAAACUUGCUGAAGUUGAAGGUUGCUGGACCAUUUCUGUUAAAUGACCUGGAAAGUCGUGAAUUGUGAAUUUGUGUUACGUAGGAAUAGAAAUUGUAGGGCGACUUACUGUUGCUCGAGGCUCUCUUUAAUUUACGUUAUUGGAUUUAAAUUGAUGAUUGAUUUUAUUUUGGUUUUCUUGCAGGGUGUGGUUUCUGCUAGACUCUGUUAAUGGAUGCUAGUUAGUGUUAAGUUGAUGAAUUUAAAUGGUGAGCUCAAGGUUUUGCAGGUUCUUAACAUGCUUUGGUUGUUUACGCAGAAUGUUGUUGUUUGUCUUGCCGUGAGAUUUCUGCAGGGAUUGGCUUGAUCAUGUGGAGUCAGUGCAUUUGUUGCAGCAAGCUGUUGUUGCUGCUGUUUAAUAUAACGUUGCUGAUGCAGUUGCCUUUCCUUUGCCAAUCGGAUUGCAUAGGCUUGUUGUGAAUUUGUACCAUUUUUAUGGUUGCAGGAAAUGUGGUGGCAACAGGAAAUGGAUGAAUCUGUCUGGUAGCUGCUUGUCGUGCCGUGUUUUGUUGCAGUUGAUAUCGGUUUUGUUGCGGUACCGCUGCCGUUUCUGUUGCAGCUUUAUGCAUUUACAUUUUCGUGCCAUUCUGUAGCUUUUUCACAUUGCCGCUUUUGCAAUCUGUUUCGGCAGCAACUGGUGUUUGGAAGUGGCUUUGCUGCUAUGAUGUUGCGUUGCCGGCGGAUGUUGUUGGCUUAUGGAUUGCACCGUGGCUUCUAUUUCCUGCAACUUGUCGCGUCUUGGUUUUUCCGUGCCGUUUCAUGGCCUUUUGGAUGUUGGCUAUGCUUCUAUGAAAGUUUGGAUGGAGGUUAGAAGGUUUUAACCGAAUGUUGUUAAAGGAAGAAAACAGUGACGAUGUGAAGCACGUGGCAUGGCGAGGAAUCCAACAUGAAAACGAUGAACCAAGACGACUUCACAACAAUUCACGGCCCAUAACCUUCUUUUUCCUCACUUAUUCACAUGUUGUAAUAUCGUUGUAAUGCAUCUGUUGUAAUCACUGCCUCAUGUAUCUUUGGCACCCUGUGUUUUGAAUUAAGCUCUAGGUCAGUGUGUAGUAUUUGUACCAUGAAACUCAUGCUUAUGCAAUAGAAAAGGAACAUUUCUA